UUUGCCCUCUCUGCCUCCCUGCCCUAUUUAAUAGGCCCCAGGAAAGGCAGAAGCCUCAAGCUUGCCCAACUGGGCAGAGGGAUCCUUCUCCCAUCAUGACUGGAACGGCGACAGCUCAUUCCAAUGGCAGCUGCCACAUUGGAAGGAAAAGAGCAAGAGAGAGGAAAAAAAGAUCAUCAGUCCUGGAUCCAGCGCCAAACCUGCCUGAGAGGACUAUGACAUUCACUUUAGGGACUCCUGAAGACUGUCUGCUUCUCAGGCUGAAUGAAGGAGCAGAAGGCUUGUGAAAGGAACCAAGCUUCUGUAAACAUUGAUUAUUUUUUCAUCACAAACUCCUUGACUUCCAGACAAUUUCCUGUUAAAAAAGCUGUACAAGCUGAGAUCUAUCUAUGAGAGGUCAGAAGAGGUCUAUAGUCAUAAGUCGAAACCAUUUCAUCUACUGACUUCUGCUGAAGGGAUAUGCAGUGCCUGUAUAUUGUCAUGCAUGUCCUACACAGGAACAAUUCACCCAAACAUUCUGUCCCCAUUGCCAUUGAAAAGACAUAAAAUGACAUUGCUGGACACAUUUGAUGUAUUUAAUAAUAAUCAUAGUAAUAAUGUGAUAUUAAAGUGAUUACAGGCUCCUAUUCACACUGGUUGAUGUUCACCCUCUGGCCUUGCCAAAAAGUCCCUUCCAUGUAAAAUCAAUUAUUCUCUGAACUUUGAACACAUCUAGCAGGACUGAUAUGUAGAGUCAUAGCUUGAGUGUUUUUACUUGAAGUUCUAGUGGAAGGUAAAUACUGAUGAAUAAGUGUAUUGAAAACAGAUGCACCUCCUUGGUUUGAGUCUUUGGG